rnacentral:lncRNA from 1 species
AAUAUUGUUCCAUUGAAUCCUCUUAGAUUAAGUUUGAAGUCCAGUUUUAGAUCACAUUCUCAGUCAUAGAAGAUCAAAAAUUGUUUGAGUAUUUUUGCAUCUCAUUUGUUCAAAUUCAGAGUGGUCAGGGUUGAUUUCGAGUGUGUUUAGGUCCAAUCAGAUUUGUUAUGGUUUGUUGUUGUUUACUCUUCUGCAAAUUAUUUCUAGGCGAUUGUGACAGUUUUGGGAGUGAAAUUGAUCCAGUUGCUAUGCUUUUGACUGAUGUUUGUUGAAUGUUGCCGCUGACUUCUCCUUCUUCUUUUUUAGUUCAAAAUUCCAGGUAUAUACUUGGCCUCCAGUAGUAUGUAAUGCCUGGAACAACAUGUUUGAGGAUAAAUAAUAUAUCCUGGAUCAUUGCUUUCAUGAGUUUCCUUUCGUUUUCAUUUAAUUUAGAUGUGUAAUGUGUUUGAUUGAUUUGAAUACUGCCUCAUUUGUAACGAUGGG